rnacentral:ncRNA from 1 species
GAAGACUUGAUCCCAAUCUCCUAUACUUUUUUAACAAAUAAUGUUACAUGCAAAGAAAAAUCUAACCCAGUGAAAUUUUUUAACUAUAAACUAACAAGAAAAAAAAAUAAAAAGAAAACUCUUUUAUAAAAAUCUCACAACAGCAGUACCAAACAUUAAGCAAUUAGUAAAAACUAGACUUAAUAAUUGAAAAAAAAUAUUGGUAAAAAUACGUGCCAGCAACCGCGGUUAUACGUAAAAUAUUUAAAGUAUAGACCACUCCCCAUUAGUGAAAAAGAAACAACAAGUAACUUGAAAAAAAAACAACAGUUAAAUGUAUAAACUAAAAGAAACUCAUAAAUGAAAAUAAAAUACUAAAAAAAAUUUCACGUAAGUUUAAAAAUAAACCAGGAUUAGAGACCCUGCUAUAUUAAACUGUAAACAAAGAAAAGGACUAAAAGCUAAGCUUAAAACUUAAAGGACUUGGCGGUUUUUUAACACUUUCUAGAGGAGCCUGCUUAAUAAUUGACAAUCCACAAAAAACCUUACCUUUAUUUGAAAAACAGCUUGUAUAUCAUCAUCGUCAGUUUACACUUACAAGGAAAGUAAACGAAAAAGAAAAACUCAAAAACGUUAGAUCAAGAUGCAGCCAAUAUAAAGGAAUACAGUGGGCUACAAUACUCUAAACGAAUAGCAAAAAUUCAAAAUAAAAACUGAAAAAAAGAAGGAUUUAGUAGUAAGAAAAUUAAAUAAAAAUACUCUGAAAAAAGCGCUAAAAAACGUACACACCGCCCGUCACUCUCUUUAACUAAAAGAGAGAAGUCGUAACAAGGUAAGGGUAGGAGAACCUGCCCUUGGAUAA